GCAGCACGUGAUUGCCACUGCCAUGCCUCGCGCUAACGGCCAGGUGGAGCGAUAUAACCAGACCAUUUUAGAGGCUCUACGCAGUAUGGGUGCGGAUAUCGACUCAAAUAAAUGGGAUUCGUGUAUUGGUCAAAUUCAGCAUGGUAUUAAUUCUACUAAGUAUAAACAAAACUACCUCAGCUGUUCCCAGCGAAGUGUUCUUUGGAUAUAGAUUAAAGCUUGAUUCGGACAAAAUGUCUAGUGAUAUUCAGGAGUCUGUAAUUGGCGUUACUAGUUUAAGAGAGUCGGUAGAUAAAAAUAUUCAAAAAUGCGCCGAAAAACAGAAGGAAUCGUUCGACACCAAGAGGAAAAAUGCACCUGUGUACGGUGUAGGCGAUCUCGUCGUUGUCAAGAUUCCUAGCCAAAGUAAUGAAGGGCAAAGCACCAAAUUAUUACCAUUGUAAAAAGGACCUUUUCAAAUUGCAGAAGUUCUAGGGCACGAUCGUUAUAAAGUAGUGGAUAUGAGGGGUGCUGAAAGGUCUUCCAGGCGAUAUGAAGGCAUCGCCUGCGUUGAGAAUAUCAAGCCGUGGAUAAAAAUAAUCGAACUUGAGCAUUAGACAUGGCUUUGGAGAAAGACCUGGAUGUUGUCAGAUGCACCAGGCACCAACGCAGUCGAGGACGAAUGCGUAUGCAGGAAGGCCGGAUGUUGUCGCUCGUUUUUUCAAGUUUAGAUUUAGUCUAUGGUUAAGUAAUUUGAACCUUUUUUGUUGAUUUAUUCUUCUUCUAAUUUUAAAAAUCUGACAUGUUCUUUGGAAUUGAUGUUUACAAGAGAAAAAUUAGAUUAUUAUAAUUAUUGCUGGCGGAUUCUGGAAGAAAACAGCAACUCGUAUGUAAAUUAGUAAGUGGUAAUUUGGCGAAUGUAAGUACAAAUUGGCUAACGUGUAUUAUUAACAAGACGGUUGGUAAUAAAAGUGUAUACAAAUUAUUAA